ensembl:snoRNA
UUCCUCCAGUGAUGUUCAGCACUGGGCACAGAAUACUAUGACGACGACAGUGCCUCCCAUGACUUUGACAUCACGGGGGACUGAGGAGUAG